rnacentral:rRNA from 1 species
UGGGGAAUUUUGGACAAUGGGGGAAACCCUGAUCCAGCAAUGCCGCGUGCAGGAUGAAGGCCUUCGGGUUGUAAACUGCUUUUGUACGGAACGAAAAGACUCUUUCUAAUAAAGAGGGUCCAUGACGGUACCGUAAGAAUAAGCACCGGCUAACUACGUGCCAGCAGCCGCGGUAAUACGUAGGGUGCAAGCGUUAAUCGGAAUUACUGGGCGUAAAGCGUGCGCAGGCGGUUAUGUAAGACAGAUGUGAAAUCCCCGGGCUCAACCUGGGAAUUGCAUUAGUGACUGCAUAGCUAGAGUGCGGCAGAGGGGGAUGGAAUUCCGCGUGUAGCAGUGAAAUGCGUAGAUAUGCGGAGGAACACCGAUGGCGAAGGCAAUCCCCUGGGCCUGCACUGACGCUCAUGCACGAAAGCGUGGGGAGCAAACAGG